rnacentral:rRNA from 1 species
GACGAACGCUGGCGGCGUGCCUAAUACAUGCAAGUAGAACGCUGAAGGAGGAGCUUGCUCUUCUGGAUGAGUUGCGAACGGGUGAGUAACGCGUAGGUAACCUGCCUGGUAGCGGGGGAUAACUAUUGGAAACGAUAGCUAAUACCGCAUAAUAGUAGAUGUUGCAUGAUAUUUACUUAAAAGGUGCAAUUGCACCACUACCAGAUGGACCUGCGUUGUAUUAGCUAGUUGGUGGGGUAACGGCUCACCAAGGCGACGAUACAUAGCCGACCUGAGAGGGGGAUCGGCCACACUGGGAAUGAGACACGGCCCAGACUCCUACGGGAGGCAGCGGUAGGGAAUCUUCGGCAAUGGACGAAAGUCUGACCGAGCAACGCCGCGUGAGUGAAGAAGGUUUUCGGAUCGUAAAGCUCUGUUGUAAGAGAAGAACGGGUGUGAGAGUGGAAAGUUCACACUGUGACGGUAUCUUACCAGAAAGAGACGGCUAACUACGUG